CUUUUAUAGGAUAGAAGUAAUCCGUUGGUCUUAGGAACCAAAAAAUUGGUGCAACUCCAGAU
rnacentral:tRNA from 1 species